rnacentral:lncRNA from 10 species
UGUAUAUCCAUGCCAAAUAGACACAAAGCUGGAAGGGGCGUGAUUUGAAAUGCUCUGGGUUGGUUACAGGAAAACCUUUGGAGUCAUUUUCUUUGGAGCGGGAGUUGGGAUGGUUUGCUGCAGACACCCAGAUGUUUGAUGCUAUGUCCUUUUAUCUUCACCUGCAUGAGGCCGCUUGAUAUUGAUCUCACUGCAGUCCUCACUACAUAGCUCAUUGGAGUCCACACCAUGGCUUCGUACGAGUGUGCACAUGCAGUCAAAGGCACCCUUAAUGCCUGCUGCUCUGCGUCCUUCGAUGUCUCCUGCUCAGCAGUCCAGCUAUUACAAGAAAAGAUGGCUAUCCCGCCCAAUGUUUGGCCCCCUCCUGCAAAGGCCAAAACAUUCGUUGGGUUUUUCCUUUACUGUCUAAAUAAAGAAGAAUUUGUGCACAGUCUGAGUGGGUCAGGAUUUCAUCCCAUGGCCAUGUGGGAGCUCCAAGAUUUGAUCUCCGGGCUGACCUGUGCAAGCAUCCUGCCUCAUUCCAUUUGGCUGAAGCUCCUGCUCCACUUCUUGCUGGGCUGUGACCAUUCAGGAUCCCCCACUGUCCACCAGAGUCAGCACCUAAAAUGAGUGGGUCCUACAACCAGUGCUUGAGAGCACGGCCUCGGGACCAGAGCACCUGCCUUUCCAUCCAGUCCCUGCUUCUCAUGAGGAAGGUGUCCUUGGGGAGAGAAAAUCUUUUUCUGUCUGGUGUUUUUCAAAAUUUUGAUGAUGGACUCACAUCAAGGAUGAAGAGCUUUGAUGUCAUUUGAACACCACCACCAUCACCACCACCAGCAUCAACAAACAAACAAGCAAACAAGCGUGAACUCAGGAGCCCUGUGGCCCAGCCUCCAGUCCAUUUCCUCACUGUGAUCUGGCUAAGUCACCUCCCCUCCACCUCAGUUCAGUCACCUACACAACAGGAAUGGUGGCUCCUGGCGUGAAAAGUUCUUAGGAGCAUUCAGCAUGAUGCUGUGUGGAGCACUUGGAAACUGCGUGUGCAUCACCUCAUAUUUCUGGCCACAGGUCAUUCAGACAUCUGCCCUUUGCCCUGGAGGAGAACCACUAGGGACUUGUGCCCAUAAGCACCAAUUCUGGCUUUUACCCUACCCAUCCUUUGCCAUCCCAAACUAUGCCAUCAACAAAUUCUAGAAAUCAAGUUAGAAAUGCUGUUCCCACGAGGGUCUCUGUGGUCUCUCAGAACAACAAUCAGCUGGCCCUGCUGGGCAGAUGUUGCCCAAUCCUAACCCACACUUAGCUAUCAACUUAAUCAUUCUCAACUAAAAACACCUACCUGAACACUUUUAGGGGUUAAGAAUAGUAUAAUCUCACUUAGCCAUUUGCAUUUUUUCUUCUUUUUACAAAAAGAAAUUUAUCUUUUUUUUUUUUUGAGACGGAGUCUUGCUCUGUUGCCCAGGUUGGAGUGCAGUGGCGCAAUCUUGGCUCACUGCAAGCUCCGCCUCCUGGGUUAGCGCCAUUCUCCUGCCUCAGCCUCCCGAGUAGCUGGGACUACAGGUGCCUGCCACCACGCCUGGCUAAUUUUUUUGUAUUUUUAGUAGAGACGGGGUUUCACCGUGUUAGUCAGGAUCGUCUUGAUCUCCUGACAUCGUGAUUCGCCCUCCUCAGCCUCCCAAAGUGCUGGGAUUACAGGCGUGAGCCACUGCGCUCUGCCAAGAAUAGUAUAAUCUCACUUAGCCAUUUGUAUUUUUUCUUCUUUUUACAAAAAGAAAUUUAUCUCAUUAUUAUGUUUAAUCAGUUUCUUGAGGUAUAACUUAAGUGUGCUAAAAUUUGCUCUUUUUAGUGUACAGGUCUAGGAUUUUUGAGAAACACAUAUUCAUAUGUGACCACCCCCAUGAUCAACAUAUGGAACAGUCAUUUGCCACCCAAAAUUACCUUGUGCCCUUUUGUUGUCAGACUCUUCUUUCUCCAGACCCUGGCAACCACUGAUGGAUUUUCUGUCCCUAUAGUUUUGCCUUUUCCAGAAUGUUCUGCAAAUGUAAUCAUUUAGUAUGUAGCCUUUUAAGUCUGAUUUCUUUCACUCUGCAUAAUGCAUUUGAGAUUCACCCACGUUGUUACCUGUUACAAUGGUUUGUUCCUUUUUAUUGCGGAGUAAUAUUCCCUUGCAUGGAUGUACCACAGUUUGGGUAACCAUUCAACAGUCAAAUGAGAUUGAAUUUGUUUCCAUUUUUUGGUGAUUAUAAAUACAGCUAUAAACAUUUGUGAAAGUGUUUUGUAUGUACAUACAUUUUUCUUAGACAUUUGGUUUUAAGAGAUGUAUUUAGGUUUAGUUCCAGAUGAACAAUGAGAGACUGAAAGACUUAAGGGACCCCUGAGAAGAGCAGAGGGAAUAUUCCCUGAGGCAGCCAUCAGUCAGACCUGGCCCUGUCAUUUAAAUGUGGGCUAGUGGUAGCAAGAUGCUGUUAUUAUUUUCACCAAGGACAUUUUUUGAGUAGCAAUUAAAAUGAAGUCUAUUUCUCUGAGCCCCUGGAGAAGAACAUAAGCACAUGAUGGUAACCAUCAAUUUAGUGGGCCUAACGUUAUCUAGGUGGUUAAUGUUUCCAUGGCUUCUGGCAAUUCCCAGUGUAAGUCACCUGUGUAUACUGGGUGGAUGCUUCUUUAAAUUAAAGAUAAGCUGUUCAGCUUAAUAACAGCUAAGGGAGAAUAUAGAGCCCGUGGGUGAACUGUUUACUAACAAGCUUCUUCAGGGUCAUUCAACUUGAAUGAACUCUCUUUUAGGCUAACUUGGUUUGUGGAGGGAAUGCAUGUUUCUUAGUUAAAAUAGUUACAUUGGAAUCCCAACUGUGCACAGGACUUCAAGGGUAAUUAUGAACCCCCACUGCAGAUUUCAGGCUUAGCACCAAUUCUCCUUGCUUUCUACUUGUAUCCAUCAAAAACAGAAGUUACGAUGGAGUUACAGCUAUACUUGUAAGGGUCUCAGUGAACCUCUCCCACUAUUCUGCCUUAUCACCUUUGGGUUCCUGUGUUCUCUACCCCCUCCCCACUGCAUGUUUUCAUUCAGCCAGGAAACAUUUACUGCCUGCCUGGUAUCAAGCCCUUGCAUGAGGGUGGGAGCUCAUAAAGAUGACUACACUAGAGAAUCAUUUGACCUUUCUCAUGUAGACCUCAACAUGAAUGAGUUUCAAUGCUGAUAGGGCAAUCAUUACCUUCAGACAAAUUUUCAGGAACAGCCAAGACUAGAGAAUGUAUGGCUAAAACACAGCACUAUGCAUUUAUAAUAGUCAUGGGUUCUCCUGUUUUAAUUGUACAUGGAGAAUAUUUCAGCUUUAUUUGUAUGGGCUGCUCUUAUGUAAAACAUUAUUUCAAUGAGGAAAUGUGUUUGGGGUUCUAAAUGACUAACUUACAAACACAACUUUGAAUAAAGUCCAUGAAUAAUUUGAGGAUUUAUGUCUAUCAAUGGCUGAUUUACCAGAUUGUUGGCUUUGGGUUUAUUGGUAUCCAUGUUGAGAGGCAUCAGAUCAUCCAAGGUUUAAGUUUCGUCCUGACCACUGACUAGCAUUGAGACCUUAAUGGGAUUAAUAACAAUGAUAAUGAUAGUGACAAGAGCUAGCUUUUCAUGAGCACAGUGGCUAAGAGAGUUAGCAUCAGUUCUAGCUGCUUUCAUUGACAUAGAUGUAAAUGGGGAGGGAAACCAUGACUAGACUCAAAUCUCUGCUCUAACGUCUGAUACCUGAAUAUCACUUUGCAAGCCACGUCAUCUCUCUAAGUUGUAGCUCUUUGUCUGAAAAAUGUGGAUAGUUAAUACAUUAUAAAUAAAUUAUUAUUACAUUAAUACACAGAAAUUCAUAAUGCUAUUGUGGGGAUUACAUGAGAUGAUGGAAGUAUUUAAUCUAGUGUCUUGUAUAUGGCAAAUAAAAAAUAAAUAUUCACUGCUGUUAAU